rnacentral:rRNA from 1 species
UUCAUAAUAACUAAACGAAUCGCAUGGCCUUGCGCCGGCGAUGGUUCAUUCAAAUUUCUGCCCUAUCAACUUUCGAUGGUAGGAUAGUGGCCUACCAUGGUCUCAACGGGUAACGGGGAAUUAGGGUUCUAUUCCGGAGAGGGAGCCUGAGAAACGGCUACCACAUCCAAGGAAGGCAGCAGGCGCGCAAAUUACCCAAUCCCAAUUCGGGGAGGUAGUGACAAUAAAUACUGAUACAGGGCUCUUUUGGGUCUUGUAAUUGGAAUGAGUACAAUCUAAAUCCCUUAACGAGGAACAAUUGGAGGGCAAGUCUGGUGCCAGCAGCCGCGGUAAUUCCAGCUCCAAUAGCGUAUAUUAAAGUUGUUGCCGUUAAAAAGCUCGUAGUUGAACCUUGGGCCUGGCUGAUCUGUCCUCCUAAUCGAGCGCACGGAUUCGGUCGGGCCUUUCCUUCUGGGGAGCCCGAUGUCCUUCACUGGGCGUCGCGGGGAACCAGGACUUUUACCUUGAAAAAAUUAGAGUGUUCAAAGCAGGCCUUUGCUCGAAUACAUUAGCAUGGAAUAAUAGAAUAGGACAGAGGUUCUAUUUUGUUGGUUUCUAGGACCGCUGUAAUGAUUAAUAGGGAUAGUCGGGGGCGUCCGUAUUCAAUUGUCAGAGGUGAAAUUCUUGGAUUUAUUGAAGACGAACUACUGCGAAAGCAUUCGCCAAGGAUGUUUUCAUUAAUCAGUGAACGAAAGUUAGGGGAUCGAAGACGAUCAGAUACCGUCGUAGUCUUAACCAUAAACUAUGCCGACUAGGGAUCGGACGGUGGUUUUUUUAUGCCCCGUUCGGCACCUUACGA